UACGUAGGGGGCUAGCGUCGUCCGGAAUCAUUGGGCGUAAAGCGCGUGUAGGCGGUCCGGUAAGUCCGCUGUGAAAGUCGGGGGCUCAACCCUCGGAUGCCGGUGGAUACUGUCGGGCUUGAGUACGGAAGAGGCGAGUGGAAUUCCUGGUGUAGCGGUGAAAUGCGCAGAUAUCAGGAGGAACACCAAUUGCGAAGGCAGCUCGCUGGGACGUUACUGACGCUGAGACGCGAAUGCGUGGGGAGCAAACAGG
rnacentral:rRNA from 1 species